UGCAAUUUAUGUUUAGAACAUUUUUUUUCUCAGGGAUUGCCUAAAAUGCUGAGCUACAAAGUCAUCCCAACUGACAUAUUUUCAAAAGAAACCAUCUCAAUUAAUUGCAGUAGAUAACUACUGCCAACCUCUAGAAAGGUGUCAGAUCUAUUUUUUUAUUUGCUGUAUUAUUUUAUUUAUUUGCAUAAUUUCAUAAUCAUGUCUGGCUCUACAUGAGACUGGGCUUUCACUGCAGUUGUAGGAGAUCAGAGGAGUUAUAUAUGGAAUUUGAACCAGAAGUUCAGAUCAACUUUUGCAUUGCUAAUUGGAAAGCUGUUGCAAAGAUCUUUCACUCCAUCCCUAAGGAUCACCUGUUUUCUCUGUUUCUCACCUUCCUUAUUGCUAUCCUUUCACAUUUUCAGCCUGCAGAGAAUCCUCUGAGCAUCACCCCCCUUUAUUUGUGACUGCACGCCUCAGAAAAGCGUCCUCAAAAGAUGUCCAGGGCAGAACCGGAAUUGUCCCCUGUGCCGUGCCAUGGAGCUGUGAGGUCACUGUGUCGUGUAGGAGAUUUUUCUAGAGGACAUGAGAAGAGAUGAAAGAACAACCUCAUUUAAUCAGCUUACACAAAGAUUAGGCUGGAGGGGCUGCUAUCCGUGUAACUUGCUGACAUGAGUCCCCCGAGACGCUGGAUCUGUCUGCAUGCCGUGGGUACACACCGGAGACGAGCCCUUUCACAGCUAAUCUCCUUCCAGAAGUCCUUCUCUAGUGCACAAAAGGCUGUUCCUGCCCCAACGUGGCUGAGAUGCAGAAGGACACAAUACCAGGGAUUUUGCCUCUUCCUCAGUUCAGGUAAGCAGAGCCUAACAGGCUCCAUGAUCUGUGAAUGUAUCCUGGGCUACUUGUGGCUCAACUUAACCUUAAACAUUUCGAAAAAUUCAGGUCUUUCAUACGGUAUAAAGGCAGGAAAUGUGAUGAAAAUAUUCCUUCUGUGUACUUGCAAUCC